AGUGAACGCUGGCGGUAGGCCUAACACAUGCAAGUCGAACGGCAGCACAGUAAGGGCUUGCUCUUACGGGUGGCGAGUGGCGGACGGGUGAGGAAUACAUCGGAAUCUACUUUUUCGUGGGGGAUAACGUAGGGAAACUUACGCUAAUACCGCAUACGACCUACGGGUGAAAGCAGGGGAUCUUCGGACCUUGCGCGAUUGAAUGAGCCGAUGUCGGAUUAGCUAGUUGGCGGGGUAAAGGCCCACCAAGGCGACGAUCCGUAGCUGGUCUGAGAGGAUGAUCAGCCACACUGGAACUGAGGCACGGUCCAGACUCCUACGGGAGGCAGCAGUGGGGAAUAUUGGACAAUGGGCGCAAGCCUGAUCCAGCCAUACCGCGUGGGUGAAGAAGGCCUUCGGGUUGUAAAGCCCUUUUGUUGGGAAAGAAAAGCAGCAGGUUAAUACCCCGCUGUUCUGACGGUACCCAAAGAAUAAGCACCGGCUAACUUCGUG
rnacentral:rRNA from 1 species